rnacentral:rRNA from 1 species
UACGUAGGGUGCAAGCGUUGUCCGGAAUUAUUGGGCGUAAAGAGCUCGUAGGCGGUCUGGUAGGUCCGCUGUGAAAACUCGAGGCUCAACCUCGAGACGCCGGUGGAAACCAUCAGGCUAGAGUCCGGAAGAGGAGAGUGGAAUUCCUGGUGUAGCGGUGAAAUGCGCAGAUAUCGGGAGGAACACCAGUAGCGAAGGCGGCUCGCUGGGCCACACCUGACGCUGAGACGCGAAAGCUAGGGGAGCGAACAGG